AGCCGUGACAGCCGCGGGAAGACAUGAGAGGCUGCUAGAAGGACUUCCCGCGGCCAGCGCCAUCACCUGCCCACGCCGCAGGGAGCCCUGACCAGAGCUCCAGACCUCUGGGUCCAACUGCCUUAUGGAUCCCUCUCCCUGAAUGUCACAUAGGAGAGGGGACAGGGGUUGGCCACACACCUGGAAAUGGAGUUCUCUGAUGCAAUGUCCUUUGGGGUCCGGACUGUGGUGAAGGUUCGUCCAGCUCCACGCCCACCCACUGGCCGCUGGCAAACUCCGUGGUCCCACAGAACCGCAGUGUGCCCGUCUGGGGAGAGAAGGGAGGCGAUGGCUAAGGAAGGAAUGCUGGGAGGCCAACGUGGAGUGCCCACACACGGGCAGCAAGGGUCCCUCAAAGGAUCCGUGACACAUGGACUGCUGGCUUUCCUGGAGAGCCCAUCUGAAAGGCAUUCACCAAAUCCACCCAACGAAUCUUUACUAAGAACCUACUAUGUGCCAGGCAAUAUUCUAGAGGUUGGAGACACAAACAGGAGGAAAGAAGAAAGACAAAGAAAGACAAAACCUCUGGCUUGAUUGAACUGAUAUUCUAGUGGGGGAGAUAAUGAAUGAAUACAUCGAAAACGCAAUAUGCAGACAGUGAUGUGUUAAAGAGAAAAAUAAAGCAGGAGACAGAGAGAA
rnacentral:lncRNA from 1 species